rnacentral:tRNA from 1 species
UAAAACCUGUAGUACAUCACCACAUCUUCUGAUUGCAACUCAAACGUUUUACUUAAACUAAGGCCUC